AGUGAACGCUGGCGGUAGGCCUAACACAUGCAAGUCGAACGGCAGCACAGUAAGAGCUUGCUCUUACGGGUGGCGAGUGGCGGACGGGUGAGGAAUACAUCGCAAUCUACUUUUUCUUGGGGGAUAACGUAGGGAAACUUACGCUAAUACCGCAUACUACCUACGGGUGAAAGCAGGGGUUCUUCGGACCUUUCGCGAUUGAUUGAGCCGAUGUCGGAUUAGCUAGUUGGCGUGGUAAAGGCCCACCAAGGCAACGAUCCGUAGCUGGUCUGAGAGGAUGAUCAGCCACACUGGAACUGAGACACGGUCCAGACUCCUACGGGAGGCAGCAGUGGGGAAUAUUGGACAAUGGGCGCAAGCCUGAUCCAGCCAUACCGCGUGGGUGAAGAAGGCCUUCGGGUUGUAAAGCCCUGUUGUUGGGAAAGAAAAGCAGCAGGUGAAUACCCCGCUGUUCUGACGGUACCCAAAGAAUAAGCACCGGCUAACUUCGUG
rnacentral:rRNA from 1 species